GGUGAGUUUCGUCUAGGAUGGAUU
rnacentral:siRNA from 1 species